AGGGCCACAUCACGUAGAAACACCAGGUCCCAUACAAUUACCACAGUUAAGCAAUGUCGAGCCUGGUCAGUAACUAGAUGGGUGACCACUUGGAAAUACCAAGUGCUGUAAG